UACGGAGGGUGCAAGCGUUAUCCGGAUUCACUGGGUUUAAAGGGUGCGUAGGAGGGCAGGUAAGUCAGUGGUGAAAUCCCCGAGCUUAACUUGGGAACUGCCGUUGAUACUAUCUGUCUUGAAUGCUGUGGAGGUAAGCGGAAUAUGUCAUGUAGCGGUGAAAUGCUUAGAUAUGACAUAGAACACCAAUUGCGAAGGCAGCUUGCUACACAGUAAUUGACUCUGAUGCACGAAAGCGUGGGGAU
rnacentral:rRNA from 1 species